rnacentral:rRNA from 1 species
AUCUCAAGAGCACAUGCAAUUAAGAUUAAAGAAUUUCGGUAUGCGAUGGGGAUGCGUUCCAUUAGGUAGUAGGCGGGGUAACGGCCCACCUAGCCAUCGAUGGAUAGGGGUUCUGAGAGGAAGGUCCCCCACAUUGGAACUGAGACACGGUCCAAACUCCUACGGGAGGCAGCAGUGAGGAAUAUUGGUCAAUGGGCGCGAGCCUGAACCAGCCAAGUAGCGUGAAGGAUGACUGCCCUAUGGGUUGUAAACUUCUUUUGUCCGGGAAUAAAACCGCCUACGUGUAGGCGCUUGUAUGUACCGGUACGAAUAAGCAUCGGCUAACUCCGUGCCAGCAGCCGCGGUAAUACGGAGGAUGCGAGCGUUAUCCGGAUUUAUU